rfam:Treponema pedis str. T A4, complete genome.
AAAACGCUGUCGAGUUUGCCUUUCGGCAAACAUCGGAUAUUAUAUGCCGUUUCUCAUUGCAUUACGAAACGGCUGAAAAUCAUCAAUGCUCGAUUUUUGAUAAAAUCUGCGCUUGAUGAUUUUAUCU